UACGAAGGGGGCUAGCGUUGCUCGGAAUUACUGGGCGUAAAGGGCGCGUAGGCGGCACUGUUAGUCAGGCGUGAAAUUCCUGGGCUCAACCUGGGGACUGCGCUUGAUACGGCAGAGCUUGAGGAUGGAAGAGGGUCGCGGAAUUCCCAGUGUAGAGGUGAAAUUCGUAGAUAUUAGGAAGAACACCGGUGGCGAAGGCGGCCCACUGGAUCGGUACUGACGCUGAGGUGCGAAAGCGUGGGGAGCAAACAGG
rnacentral:rRNA from 1 species